rnacentral:rRNA from 1 species
UACGUAGGAGGCAAGCGUUGUCCGGAAUCAUUGGGCGUAAAGCGCGCGUAGGCGGCCAGAUAAGUCCGGUGUGAAAGUCACAGGCUCAACCUGUGAAUGCCGCUGGAAACUGUCUGGCUAGAGUCCGGAAGGGGCGAGUGGAAUUCCUGGUGUAGCGGUGAAAUGCGCAGAUAUCAGGAGGAACACCAAUGGCGAAGGCAGCUCGCUGGAACGGUACUGACGCUGAGGCGCGAAAGCGUGGGGAGCGAACAGG